UCCCUCGUGGCGCAAUUGGCUAGCGCGUUUGACUGUUAUGGCCGCACGGUAUAGCCGAUCAGGAGGUUGGUGGUUCAAGCCCACCCGAGGGAG